AUUUUCGCUUGUGGGCCACCCAUCCAGAAAUGGGCCAAUGUAGUCGAUGAAACACCACUAAUUUUUGUCCCAAUUUAUGCUAUGGGUAAUCUCCUUCUAAACCAUAAAUCGAAGGAGAUUUCCAGCAGUAAACAUGAAAGGAGUACCAGAUUGUUUGUUUAGCCUCUGAUUAUGCAGUCUACCUCAAUUACUUGUUCCUCCUUAAUCUACCCAAAUCCUCCUAACCAUUUUCAUCGUUCCAACAAGAACAAGAAACCUCUUACACUUUCUCUCCGAACCUCAAAGUGCUGUUGUUUCACUCUUAGUUCUUCUUCUACACAUAGUUGCAGCAAAAAAGACCAACAGAAAAACGACAACAGCAACAAACCCAUUGUUAAUUGGGAAGAAUUUUAUUCUUCUAUUCAACGACAACAAGACACAACAACAACAACCCAGUACGACGACGAAUACGAAGACGAGGAUAAGGAUUUUGAUCUUCCAGUUCAUUCAGGCAUUAAAACAAACAUGUGGUGGACAGACUUGAAAGCUGCAUUAGGACAAAGGAUUAAUGUGGAGGGGAUUGUUUCUUCAUUAGGGAUUUUUUCUAAGGAUAAGCAUUUAGCGAUCCCGCAUGUCAGUGUGAAGGAUAUAAGGUAUAUUGAUUGGGUUGAGCUGAAGAGAAGGGGGUUUGAAGGUGUGGUGUUUGAUAAAGAUAAUACGAUUACUGUUCCUUAUUCUUUGAGCUUGUGGUCUCCUCUUGCUUCGUCCAUCGAUCAGUGCAAAUCGCUGUUUGGUAAUAAUAUUGCGGUGUAUAGCAACUCCGCAGGAUUAGAUGAAUAUGACCCUGACGGUAGAAAAGCCAGAAUUCUUGAACGUGCGAUUGGAAUUAAAGUCAUUAAGCACGGGGUGAAGAAGCCAGCUGGAACAGCUGAAGAAAUUGAGAAGCAAUUCGGUUGUGAAUCGUCAAGACUUAUCAUGGUGGGUGAUAGGCCGUUUACAGAUAUAGUUUAUGGUAACAGAAAUGGUUUUCUUACUAUUUUGACAGAGCCAUUAAGUUGUGCAGAGGAGCCAUUUAUUGUACAGCAGGUCAGAUUUCCUGAAGACUGAUUUCUUGGACGUACCCUGGGAUGACCAAGUCAAAUCAGCCAAGAUAAACCAGAAAACAAAAGUAUACAUGGCAGAGUAUUACAACGGGAAAAGCACCUCAAUUGACUUCAAAACUAGACUAGCUUAAAUCAUAAGUUAGUGUACCAAAACGCAGCCAAAAAAAUGAGGGUGCAGAGUGAAUAAAUUAGCCUCACCGAUUCUCAGGAAAGCUCGAUCAACAAGUAAGAAAGGCAAUCCAAGCUGUACCAAUGGCCUUGGGAACCGUUGUGACAGACAAAGCACAUCAUCGAUCCCUGUCUCUAAACUCAUUAACAACCUAUGAUGGUCAAUGUGAAAGAAUUCAUUGGUAACCAUUAAGUCUUUCUGGAGUUUGAAUUUCCAGGAAGUUCCUCUUUUUUUUAGAGGUUGAUCUUCUACAGUGAGAAUGGAGAAAAAAGAGCGAUAAAAAAGAGGGGAGGAAGAUGAAUGUCGAGUUUCUUAUUAGCUUUUGAGUCUUGGUUUUGUUUCACUGGUGGAAAGAGUUGUUUUUCUCUGGGAGAAGAGUGAGCAGCAGGGAGUUGAAAAUAAUAGACCUUUUUCUUUGGCUCAAGAGCUGUUUGUUUGGAUUAAGUGGCACAUAUCUUUCUUUCAUUUGCUUCUUUGCCAAGUCAGCCACAUCUGAACUAUAUGCAUCUCAUAUCGUGUUUAGGGCAGCUAAAUGAAAAUUCCGACGAGUUUAACUGUUUGUCUAUGUAUUCAUUCACAAGGUUAGGGUACUCGAGGUAGCCUUUGUGAACAGAUGGUCUAGCCAAGGGAUGAAGCCACCCAGUCACUCACUUCUUCCUGAUUGCCAGCAGUGUGUAAAAGACGAUCCACGUUAGGUUUUUUCUUUAGAUUAAGUGGGAAAAAUUCAUCUCCUCAUCACCUCCCAUUCCCCCAAGGAAAAAGAAAACAGCCCGACCAUGAACAAUUUUUGUUACGGCCACAACUAAUUAUACAGGAUUAUUUCCAUCGGUUUGCUUCUUCUGUCUGGAAUAUGAUAAGAAUGCUAUAUCAAUCAUUUCUACAUUUGUCUGACUGAA